rnacentral:rRNA from 1 species
GACGAACGCUGGCGGCGUGCUUAACACGUGCCAGUCGAACGGUGAACUCCGCUUGCGGGGGGAUCAGUGGCGAACGGGUGAGUAACACGUGGGCAACCUGCCCUCAGCUCUGGGAUAACUCCAAGAAAUUGGGGCUAAUACCGGAUAUGACCGCUGACCGCAUGGUCUGGUGGUGGAAAGAUUUAUCGGCUGGGGAUGGGCCCGCGGCCUAUCAGCUUGUUGGUGGGGUAGUGGCCUACCAAGGCGACGACGGGUAGCCGGCCUGAGAGGGUGACCGGCCACACUGGGACUGAGACACGGCCCAGACUCCUACGGGAGGCAGCAGUGGGGAAUAUUGCGCAAUGGGCGAAAGCCUGACGCAGCGACGCCGCGUGGGGGAUGACGGCCUUCGGGUUGUAAACCUCUUUCAGCAGGGACGAAGCGAAAGUGACGGUACCUGCAGAAGAAGCACCGGCCAACUACGUG